UAUGCUAAUAUAACAGUUAGUAGGAGUGUAACAUAAUAUAUAUUAGUAGUAGUAAAGAAUAUUCGGUAAUGAUGGUAUAAUUUCUUAUAGUUCGUAAUAUGUACGGCUUAAGAAUGGAAGAGUAAAAAAAUAUAUGAUACUUUUUCUGUUUUGAUCGGAACAUCAUAUUAUAUAUGAUCCACUAUAUUAUAUUUCAUUAAAUAUAAGUAGUAGGAUAGCUCUUCUGACCACAUUUAAAAUCGUUUAUGAUAUUGAACAUAGCAUUAGAAAAAGAAAACCCAGUUUGUUUUUCUUUUGCAACAUAUAUACUAAUAUGGUAUGGUAUAUAUGAAAGUCAUGUAGUUGGUUAACUAAAGGGAUGUAGGAUAUAUGUAGGAGUAUAAUAAUAGUGAGAUUAUUUAUGCAUAUAUAUAUGUGUGUGGAUGGUACUAUGGCGGAUAUAACCGGUACUAAAUAAUCAUGAAAAAGACUACGUAUAUAUAAUAUCAUUGUUUUUUGCAAUGAUAUUAUAUAUAAAAGGAACCUUAUAUAUGUAUUCGUUAAGGAUGCAUAUAUGAGGUGGGGAAAUAUAAUUUGGUGGGUAAGAACGAAUGGGGGUACGGGUAGAUGGGUACAGGUACAUGUGUACAGGCACAUUACCGACACAUGGGUACAUGCACAUGGGUACAGGCGCGUGGGUACAGGCGCAUGGGUACAGAUAAGGGCUACAGAAGGGCUACAGAAAAAGAUCUAAAGGAUGAAUAUGGAAAAGGGCUACAGAAGGGCUACAGAAAAAGAUCUAAUGUAUGAAUAUGGAAAAGGGCUACAGAAGGGCUACAGAAAAAAUCUAAUGUAUGAAAUGGAAAAGGGCUACAGAAGGGCUACAGAAAAAAUCUAAUGUAUGAAUAUGGAAAAGGGCUACAUAAAAAAUGUGCAAAACUGAUACAGAAAACGGCACAGGAGCAGCCAAAUAUGCACAUAGGAAAACACAGAAAAAGAUUCAAAAAUUCUAAAGUACGUUUUUAAUAUCAGUUGGUACUUUAGAUAAAUGUCUUACUAUGGGUAUGGAAUAAAUUGUAAUUUUAAUUAUAAUUUAUUUGUGUUUUUUAUUAUAUAGAUACAUGUAACAAUGAAUUAAAUAUAUUUGUUUGUUUAUUACAUGUGCAUAUAUAUAAAAGGAAUAAACUGCAUUUUUGUUUUUUUUUUUUUUUUUUGUGUUUAAUUAAUUACUUGAAUUUUUUACAUGAAUAAAUAUAUAAUAUGGAUAUUUACUAUUAAGUAUAAUAUUCCAUAUUAUUUCUAAGUUUUGUCUUAGAUAACAUUUGUUUUUAAUUUAGGUGUUUAGGAUUUAAAAGGAUUUAACUAUAUUAUCAUAAUUAUAGUUAUUCUUUGGAAGUUUGACCAUUCAGAACGUGUAUAUAACAAUCCUUUUGUUAUAAGAAGACAGGAUUGUUUUUAUAAUCCCAUAUGUAUGAGAUAAUGUAGGUAAAAGCAUUUUAUAAUUCUUAUUAUAAUAAUGAAAAAAAAAAAAGAAAAAAAAAAAAAAAAAAAGAAAAAAAAAAAAAAAAAAAAAAAAAAAAAGAAAAAAAAAAAAAAAAAAAAAAGAAAAAAAGAAAAAAAAAAAAAAAAAAAAUAAAAAAAUAAAAAAGAAAAAAUAAAAAAUAAAAAAAAAAAAAAAAAUAAAAAAGAAAAAGAAAAAAAAAAAAAAAAAAAAAAGAAAAAAAAAAAAAAAAAAAAAAAAGAAAAAAAAAAGAAAAAAAAAAUAAAAAAAAAAAAAAAAAAAAAAAAAAGAAAAAUAAAAAGUAAAAAGUAAAA